UACGGGGGGUGGCAAGCGUUGUUCGGAAUUACUGGGCGUAAAGGGCGCGUAGGCGGGUGGACAAGUCUCUCGUGAAAGCCCACGGCUCAACCGUGGAAUUGCGGGAGAUACUGUCUGUCUUGAGUCCGGGAGAGGAGGGUGGAAUUCCCAGUGUAGCGGUGAAAUGCGUAGAUAUUGGGAGGAACACCGGUGGCGAAGGCGGCUCUCUGGACCUGUACUGACGCUGAGGCGCGAAAGCUAGGGGAGCAAACGGG
rnacentral:rRNA from 1 species